CCUCUGACAACCCUAGACAUAGGGCUUCUCCUUCGGGAGCAGAGUGACAGAUGGUGCAUGGUUGUCGUCAGCUCGUGUCGUGAGAUGUUGGGUUAAGUCCCGCAACGAGCGCAACCCCUUGAUCUUAGUUGCCAUCAUUUAGUUGGGCACUCUAAGGUGACUGCCGGUGACAAACCCGGAGGAAGGUGGGGAUGACGUCAAAUCAUCAUGCCCCUUAUGACCUGGGCUACACACGUGCUCCACUCCCCCGGUACAAAGAGCUGCAAGACCGCGAGGUGGAGCUAAUCUCAUAAAACCGUUCUCAGUUCGGAUUGUAGGCUGCAACUCGCCUACAUGAAGCUGGAAUCGCUAGUAAUCGCGGAUCAGCAUGCCGCGGUGAAAAAGCAUUUUGGCCUUGCCCA
rnacentral:rRNA from 1 species